rnacentral:rRNA from 1 species
UACGGGGGGGGUAAGCGUUGUUCGGAAUUACUGGGCGUAAAGGGCUCGUAGGCGGCCAACUAAGUCAGACGUGAAAUCCCUCAGCUUAACUGGGGAACUGCGUCUGAUACUGGAUGGCUUGGAUUCGGGAGAGGAAUGCGGAAUUCCAGGUGUAGCGGUGAAGUGCGUAGAUAUCUGGAGGAACACCGGUGGCGAAGGCGGCAUUCUGGACCGAUAUUGACGCUGAGGAGCGAAAGCCAGGGGAGCAAAGCGGG